UACGUAGGGGGCUAGCGUUGUCCGGAAUCAUUGGGCGUAAAGAGCGUGUAGGCGGUCCGGUAAGUCCGCUGUGAAAGUCGGGGGCUCAACCCUCGAAUGCCGGUGGAUACUGUCGGGCUAGAGUGCGGAAGAGGCGAGUGGAAUUCCUGGGUGUAGCGGUGAAAUGCGCAGAUAUCGGGAGGAACACCUAUGGCGAAGGCAGCUCGCUGGGACGGUACUGACGCGUGAGGC
rnacentral:rRNA from 1 species